rnacentral:piRNA from 1 species
UAUAUUUUCCAAUUCCAGUUA